ACAGAAUUUAAUUAUACAGGACUGUGACAGAGCCACGACAUUGGAGGAGCUCACCAGUUGUUACAGAAAAUGACGAAGGGCUUCUUAAAAGAUCAACAUCGAGCUGGUACAUUGCGUGCUUUUGAACAGCGCUGAAUAGCUCUCCACACUUGAGUGGCACCCCACUGAGUCACUCACAGCCACGUGUGCCCAAAGGAACCCUGAGGACCAGGCCAAGGUGCUUGUCUCUGCCAGCUGCUAGUGUUUUCACAGAACCCAGGGAGCAGGAGUUGAAGCUGUGGCACGAUCAGAACAAAGAGUACCAGCCACUUAGCAGACGAUGCGUGGACCUGUCUUGAUUUUUGUGCAGACUCACAAAGCAAGAGUCUGUCCAAGAUCAGCAGCAUAUGCUUUAACGUUUUCAUCAGUGGGAAGGGUACAUCACAGCCCUCUUAAAGAUCCAGCAUUUCAGCUCUACACUUAGAGGCUCACUCUAAAGUACAAAAUCAUCAACCAGAAAGACUCUCUUGGAAACAUGAAUAGAAAGAACAAGAAAUAAUAAUAAAGUCAUCCCAACAAACAGUGAGAGAGGACAAAAGCUCCUGUCAUUAGUCAUCAGGAUGAAGUGCAGAGGAUCAGGAUCACUGAGGAUCUGUGUAAGAACUUGGCCCGGUGUCUGAAGCAUCCUGACUGUGCUCUUUCCGCUGCACCUCAGGAACCAGGGGAGAAUAUUUUUCUCUCCAGUUCCACAUCCUUUAGGCUCAGCCCAGAGAUCACAGAAUGGUUAAAAACGGUCAACCUAAAAUGAAAUGAUUCUCAAGGGAAGAAAGUUGAUCAUCCAAUUGGUAAAAGUUCUAGGGAGUCACUGGGUCAAAUUUGGCCAAGGGACGGGAUCCCAGAUGAAAUCUGCACAAUGCGGGCUCUCUGAGUUCCUAGUCCUCUGCCUUUGCAUCUGGGUAAUCCUGGUCUUGUCUGCUCUGGAGAAAUCAUCCUAUCUCUGAGGAAUAAAAUCUAUGAGGGCUCAGUGAAACCACCUUCACCCGUUCAGUCUAUCAGAAAAUUCUGCCUCAGGAGUGGGGAGGAUCUGAAAUGUUCUUGGUGUUUCUAUCUCUUUCAGAGGCAGAUUCUACAUCAGAAUUCAAAUAGGAAUCCAGUUUGCAAAUCCCUAACAGAUAUCUCUUUGCCCUGCCACAGCCCACCUCUGCCAAAAGGCAAGCCUGACCCUCUACAGCUCAGGACCUCCUUCCUUUUGGGGCAAGGUGUAUAGUAUCUUGAGAGAUAUUAAGUAUGUCUUCCAAAGGGAUUCUCCAGAGUUCUCACGUGAGAGAGGAUGCAAAAAGUACUAAUUGGGGAGAUGUUGGAACUUAGGACCCUGGGAAGCUAAGCAAGCACCUCCCUUCCCUGGUAAGCGGCUGUGAGUGGCAGGCUGUGGCCCUUCCAGGGGGAGAACCACCAGCAGCUCCUGAGAUCUACGCCAUGUUGGAACUUAGGACACUAGGAAGCCAAGCAAGCAGCUCCCCUCCCUGGUAACUGGCUGUGGUGUGGCAGGCUGUGGCCCUUCCCAGGGGAGAAUCAUCAGUGUCUCCUGAGAUCUGCACCAUAUUGGAACUUAGGACACUGGGAAACCAAGCAACCAGCCUGCCUCCCUGCUAAGCAGUAGUGAACCUACUGGUGCAUGGCCUAGAGCCUAACAUCCCACUUCCCCUACCCUCCUUCUCCUGUCCCCCAUUAGCAAAUGGGAACCAGAAAUCUGAGCAUCUCCUGGGAGGUUGACCAUAGCAAAUAAGGGGGAUUUCCUUCUACCAUCUCUUGGAAGGCAAAUAUUUUUAUUACUGUUUUGCUCUAUUCUGAUUAAUGGUACUGCUCUAUUCAAUAUUCUGUUUUGAUAAGUUCUAUAAUGUUCUGUAUUUCAUUUUAUUUUGAUAUAUGUGAUUAAAAGAACAACUAUUGUAAAGAUAACAAAUUAUUCUGUGAUACCUAUUACUGUUAUCCCAGUAACCUGCUGUGAAGUUCUGUAUCAAUUUCACUGUAUGAUCUUAGUUGGCUUUGUUCUGUCUUGUUCUGUUGUAUUUUACUAUUUUCAAAAUAAAAAUUUUUUUUAAAAAAGGUA